CAAUAGCGUAUAUUAAAGUUGUUGCAGUUAAAAGCUCGUAGUUGGAUUUCUGGGAGGGUGCCAAUGUCCGUCGUCGUACGUGUUGCAGCGGCGCCCUUCCAUCCUUCUGUUAACGACUUUGGGCAUUCACUUGCCGGAGUCGGGCUCAGAUAUUUUACCUUGAGAAAAUUAGAGUGUUUCAGGCAGGCUUUCGCCCGGAUACAUUAGCAUGGAAUAAUAGAAUAGGACUUUUGCCUCUUCUGUUGGUCUGAGGGGUCGGAAGUAAUGAUUAAUAGGGAUAGUUGGGGGCGAUUAGUACUUAACUGUCAGAGGUGGAAAUUACUUUGGAGUUUGUUUAAAGAACUAACUUAAUUGCGAAAGACAUUUGUCCAAGG
rnacentral:rRNA from 1 species